AAACUAUUUUAUUUUGUUUUGAAAACAAAAAGUAAGAAUUUAUUCUUGUAGUU
rnacentral:tRNA from 1 species